rnacentral:tRNA from 1 species
GGUAGAGUGGCCGAGUAGGCGGCGGGUUGUAGCCCCGAAAACAGAGGUUAAAGCCCUCUCUCUAUCA